rnacentral:lncRNA from 1 species
UUCCCCACAGCGCAUCCAGCUUCCAUGCCAUCAACGUGAUCGAUGCAGCGUCCCAGAUUUCCUUCGAUCCCAGGCGCCCGUUCGAAUGCAGCCCAGCACUCCAUCCGCCCGUGAAGCAUCCCCAGCCUCCCGCGCCCGAUUGCAGCACCCUCUUCCGGAUUCCCAGCAUCAACCCGUCCGCAACGUCCCAGCUCUUCCGUGACCCAAGCACCGCGUCCGUGAUCGGCUCCUCCCGGCGAUCCCACGGCGUCCUCCCGUCGAUCCCGCGGCAUCAGCCUCCAUCCCGUGAUCCUAGCAACCCAUGAUCUCCGUCCGUUGCAGCCUCUACGUCCGGACAUCUCGCAUCCGCACUGGAUCUCUUCCACGGAUCAUCGCCUCCUCCCAUCUCCUCUUCUUCCGGCUACAGCAGCAGAUUACCAGAACCGAUCCAGCCACAAUCCGUGAUCCAUCCCAGCAUCAGCGCCCCUGCAUUGCGUCCCUUCCCAGAUCUUCCAUCCGUGAAGGAAGCCCCAGUGAUUCCGUGAUCCCAGCCUCCACCGCGUCCGCCCUCUCCUUCCUCCAAUAAUCCAGCCAUCUACGUGCUUGCUGGGGAUCUAUAUAAGGGAGCCAUCGGCGAGGGGGA